CAGCAGCCACGGUAAUACGAAGGGUGCAAGCGUUAAUCGGAAUUACUGGGCGUAAAGCGUGCGUAGGCGGUUUGUUAAGUCUGUUGUGAAAUCCCCGGGCUCAACCUGGGAAUGGCAAUGGAUACUGGCAAGCUAGAGUGUGUCAGAGGAUGGUGGAAUUCCCGGUGUAGCGGUGAAAUGCGUAGAGAUCGGGGGGAACAUCAGUGGCGAAGGCGGCCAUCUGGGACAACACUGACGCUGAGGCACGAAAGCGUGGGGAGCAAACAGGAUUAGAUACCCCCGUAGUCCCUGUCUCUUAUAC
rnacentral:rRNA from 1 species